rnacentral:rRNA from 1 species
AACGUAGGAGGCAAGCGUUAUCCGGAGUUACUGGGCGUAAAGAGUGCGUAGGCGGAUUGAUAAGUGGGUGGUGAAAGCGCCCGGCUAAACCGGGCGAGGUCCAUUCAGACUGUCAGUCUAGAGGCGGAUAGAGGGGUGCGGAAUUCCGGGUGUAGCGGUGAAAUGUGUAGAUAUCAGGAGGAACACCGGUGGCGAAGGCGGGUCUCUGGGAAGUAACUGACGCUGAGAAGCGAAAGCAUGGGUAGCAAACAGG